rnacentral:pre_miRNA from 1 species
UACUACUACUACUACUGAUGAUGAUGAUGAUGAUGAUGAUCAUCAUCAUCAUCAUCAUCAUCAUCAUCAUCAUCAUCAUCAUCAUCAUCAUCAUCA